rnacentral:rRNA from 1 species
UACGUAGGGUGCAAGCGUUAAUCGGAAUACUGGGCGUAAAGCGUGCGCAGGCGGUUAUGUAAGACAGUUGUGAAAUCCCUGGGCUCAACCCAGGAACUGCACUCGAAACUUCUUUUCUUGAGUGCCGGAGAGGAAAGCGGAAUUCCUGGUGUAGAGGUGAAAUUCGUAGAUAUCAGGAGGAACACCAGUGGCGAAGGCGGCUUUCUGGACGGUAACUGACGCUGAGACGCGAAAGCGUGGGGAGCAAACAGG